rnacentral:rRNA from 1 species
GAAAGGAACUAAACAGGAUUCCCUUAGUAAUGGCGAACGAACAGGGAUCAGCUUGGGUUGGAAACCGGGGCUUCUGCCUUGGAUUGUGGCCUUUAGACAUACUACCAACGGCGGCGCGAGCGUAAGCCUCUUGGAACAGAGCGUCUACCUAGGUGAGAAUCCUGUGUUUCGCUUGAUGCCCGCCGUGCACGGUACUUGCUCUCAGAGUCACGCUCCUCGGAAUUGGAGCGUAAAUUGGGUGGUAAAUUUCAUCUAAAGCUAAAUACAGGCUCGAGACCGAUAGCAAACAAGUACCAUGAGGGAAAGAUGAAAAGGACUUUGAAAAGAGAGUUAAAAGUGCUUGAAAUCGCUGAACUGGAAGCGAAUGGAACUAGUGCUCUGGUUGAGAUUGCUGCAGGUGGCUGCAAAAUCUGGGCUCUGGAAUGCAAAUCCUUGGUCUAGUUUGGAGUAGUUGCUUGCAAUGUGUCUCAGCUUGAACAUCAACUUUCAUGCAUGCGUGAGGAUGGCCCUUGGCUCAUGCUGUCUUACUGCGGUGAAAUUCUUGUGCCUUUUGGGAUUCAGGCGUGUGUGGACUGUUGAUCAAUUAGUUCCAUUCGACCCG